rfam:Spirochaetes bacterium GWF1_51_8 gwf1_scaffold_339, whole genome shotgun sequence.
GCCACCGUAGCUCAGCUGGUAGAGCAAUUGAUUCGUAAUCAGUAGGCCAGCGGUUCGAUCCCGCUCGGUGGCU